UUUCAGAAUUGCAUGUGCUGCCGCCGUUGAAGCUGUACGUGGUUGAAGCAAAACAGCUAUACUCCUUUGGAUGUUGAAAAGAUUGAAUUCCUCGCAAAGUUAAGUCAUCCGAAAUUAUUGAUUUGGAGUACUUUCUGUGACAAGAGUUUGAUUGCUCCAAAAGAAUUGAGAGAAACACUAUCAUCCCCUUUAUAUAAUGUCAAGCAAUUGAAGUUAAAGUUAUUCUGCCAUCCACGUACGAGAUAUGAGAUCAUCGAACUUGUGGAUUCCUUGUUAUGAAUUUC